rnacentral:rRNA from 1 species
CCUACGGGAGGCAGCAGUGGGGAAUAUUGCACAAUGGGCGAAAGCCUGAUGCAGCAACGCCGCGUGAGCGAUGAAGGCCUUCGGGUCGUAAAGCUCUGUCCUCAAGGAAGAUAAUGACGGUAGUUGAGGAGGAAGCUCCGGCUAACUACGUGCCAGCAGCCGCGGUAAUACGUAGGGGGCUAGCGUUUUCCGGAUUUACUGGGGGUAAAGGGUGCGUAGGGGGGUUUGUAAGUCAGAGGUGAAAGGCAUGGGCUUAACCCGUGGAAGGCUUUUGAAACUGGAGACCUUGAGUGGAGGAGAGGAAGGUGGAAUUCCUGGUGUAGCGGUGAAAUGCGUAGAUAUUAGGAGGAACACCAGUUGCGAAGGCGGCUCUCUGGACUGUAACUGACACUGAGGCACGAAAGCGUGGGGAGCAAACAGGAUUAGAUACCCGAGUAGUC